GAUGAACGCUAGCGGCAGGCCUAAUACAUGCAAGUCGAGCGGGACCUUCGGGUCUAGCGGCGGACGGGUUAGUAACGCGUGGGAAUAUACCCUUUGGUACGGAAUAGCCUCGGGAAACUGAGAGUAAUACCGUAUGUGCCCUUCGGGGGAAAGAUUUAUCGCCAAAGGAUUAGCCCGCGUUGGAUUAGAUAGUUGGUGGGGUAAUGGCCUACCAAGUCUACGAUCCAUAGCUGGUUUGAGAGGAUGAUCAGCAACACUGGGACUGAGACACGGCCCAGACUCCUACGGGAGGCAGCAGUGGGGAAUCUUAGACAAUGGGCGCAAGCCUUGAUCUAGCCAUGCCGCGUGGACGACGAAGGCCUUAGGGUUGUAAAGUCCUUUCAGAUGGGAAGAUAAUGACGGUACCAUCAGAAGAAGACCCGGCUAACUCCGUGCCAGCAGCCG
rnacentral:rRNA from 1 species